GAUACUUUCUGCUGUAAAAAUCCCAACAACAUUGUAAUUCUCAAUCACGGGUGUAUAUUAGAGACUAUGCUGUCAUAUAUGACGACUCUGUUUGAAAAGGGACAUAUUUUAACCUCAACGACAUUUUAGGAUUUGGUAAGGGUUCCCUGAGCCAUGAGGGAAGGAAUUUGAUGGAGACAAAGGAGAGUGGACCAAAGCCCUAAGCCAAGAUGGGGUGGGGUCCCCACACAGCUACUAUGAUACAUCUGUGUAUAAGGGGAUGGAUGUAAAGG